rnacentral:tRNA from 1 species
AGAAGCUUACAAACGGAAAGAGCAUUCGAUUGAAACUCGAAAUGUCAAAGGUUCAACUCCUUUCU